UUCUGUCCUGAGGAGUCUCUCCCUUGUCAACAUGGAUUAUGGCAGAUGCCUGAAAAGUUUCCAGAGGGGCUGGCCAACACAGGAGGCAGGGUCCCUGUAGCUAGAAGACCCAGCUGAAAAAUUUGCCUUCGACGGAAACAUGAACAUGAUAGGCGGCCUUACAGAGCAUAUGCCACUCUUUUUGGCAUAUGAGAAGCUCAUUGUAGCAGGCACUCCCGGAAUGUGAUAAGAAUAGUGGAGGUGAAGUUAGGCGUCAUAAAGAACUCUGAAAGCCAAGAGACUUCUCUCCUGAGCCUUUCAGCUUCCUGCUCUGUGGACCAGUUACUCUCCAGGCCAAUGGAGAAUCCCCUUUGCCACCAGCCUGGGCAUUCCCUUCACCUCUCUCCUGUGUUGGAGCUGUUCCUUCCUGGCGUUCGUGCGCUCUCUCUCUCCUGGUGUGGUGGAGCAUAUUGUCGAGUAGCUUCUUAAGACACGAUACUUGGAACAUCCUUGACUCUCUGGGGAUAUUAAUUAUUGCUUUAAGCCAUUUACUGAGCACCUACUAGUUGGCUUUCCAUACUCAUUGAGAAUACCAAGAAGAAUAAGCUCAUUUCUUAUGCUGAAGAGGAGACAGACAUGCAAAUCAAGAAGUGGACACAUUACAAAAUGACCCAGGAGACACUGAGGGCCUCUGCUCCAUCCUUGCCAAUUCUGAGAAUAGUGCAGCCACAAGGAGGAUUGUUCUGAGGCUUCUCACAGGGCACAAAACCCCCACGCACUGUCCUCUGGCCACCUACAGCCUCUCUGACUCUGCACUGCCUCUGACCCUGCACUGCCUGCUUGAGCAAAGCAGUCUUUGAAAACCAUUUCCAGCCUGGCUAAUGAUGCAGUGCUUUGAAAAGUGCCACCAGGAUGAAAAACAGCUCACAAAUGGGGACUCCUCGUUAUUUUACCAGCACAGCCGGCAAGAAGCUCCUGCCAAGCAAGAUCAAACUUCUCAGGAAUGUUUUGAAAAGCUGGUGGAAACAAGGGCCUCUGUCACAUUUCUGUCACACCUCACCCCAGCAUGUGGGGAAAGCUCUCUUGGAACGAAUGUUAGUCGGUCUCAGAAACACACAAAAUUGAUGUCUCCAGCAGCAUUGCCAUUUCCACUGCAGACUUAAAGCUAUAUCUUUCUGGAUUCUAAUGCAGAAAGGGAACAGUUAGAGAAUCCAUCCAGGCUUUUUCUAAAAUGAGAGCCGGUUAAAGAUGCUGUUUAAAAAGGUGCCUCUCAAAGCUUCCCUCCUGACCUUCCAUACCAAAAGCCUGAGCUUAAUUACCUACAUAAUUUUCCUGGCUCCUGUGCUGUGGUCCAGGGGCCCUCUCUGUCCACCGGAAGCUAAGCCAUCUGUCGGACAUCUCUCUCUGGACUCCCCAGGGUUCCCUCUCACCUACACAUCUCGAUUAGCAGAUGACAGUUCUGCUAUAAUGUUUAUUUUACCUCUAACAGAUUUUCAGCUAAGUAGGUGAAGGGGCGGAGGUUCCCUGCCCAGAGCCAGUUCUGGGCUUCCUUUGGCUCCUCCUUCCAGUCUGCUAGGAAAAGGAACCUGGAGGCCUUUAGGAGGGAGGAGAGAUCACAUUUUCUUUGCCAUUGAGUAGUGAAGGUCAGGCCCUCCUUGCCAGCCACAAAGCAGAGAAUUGUUUGUUUAUUUCUCCGAGUAGCACUGUUCUGUCUCUGUGAGCAGCAGACAAAACCAGAAAAGGGAAUUCAUUCUGUGGAGCAGACCAAAGGCAGGGGGAAAACUUGUCCUUUGGAAAGAUAAAAGCAAAUUCAAUGAAGUGAUCAUCUUAAAUCUUCUAGUUAUUCUUCCCCUCCACCACCUUUCACCCCCAAUCUGAGUUUUCCUGGGAUUUAGGUAAGAACCCAUGAGAGAAAUGAGAUAUGGCAGAUAGAGAUGAGAGCAGCAAUAGGAACUUGGGGUGGAAAGGUGUGCAUUCAUCUAUAGAUCACUCAGCCAAAUAAGCCACUUAGAGAGUCCAGGCCCACAUUAAUUCCUUUGAUGACUCAGUGACGAGCAGAAUGCAUUUGCAAUACAGUAAGGCCAGAAACCUGGAAGAAGCAUCCUCCAUUCCUCCCUCUCUCUUAUCCUCCACACCUAAGCCAUGAUCAAUCUUACAGAGUCUGACUCCUAAAUAUCUGUCAAACUCACGCUCUUCUCUCCAUUUCCAUGGCUACUGCUGUAAUUCAGCACCAUCGAUUCCUGCCCAAAUGAUUGACACAGCUUUCUAAUUAGGCUGUUUGCCCCUUCCAAUCUACUCCCCACAUAGCACCCAGAGAAACCUUUCACAGGUGCAAAUCUUAUGCCAUUUUCUGGAUAAAACCCUUCAAGAUCUUAUUUCCUCCUCUCUUCUCCAGGCCCUAGUUUUAUGCUGAAAGCCCCAAGUCCUGCAUAAUUUGGUUCCUGCUUAUUUCUCCAGCCUUAACCCUUACAGCUUCCUGCUUCAAACAGUAGGCUCUAGCAAACUUAGCUUUUCUUUUGCAAAAUAGACCAAAUGCUCUUUCACUUUUGUGCCAUCAUGCAUGCUGUUUUCUCUGCUUGGAACAAUCUUUUUGAUACUCCCAGCCUUCCUUAAUUAGCUAUUUCCUACCUGAACUUUAGGUCUCAACUAAAAUGUCACUUCCUCUAGAAAGACUUUACUAGCCCUCAAGGCAGUUGAGCUAGAAGUUUCCUCUGUGCUCCCAUAGCAACUUAUGGAUUCACACGGCCCAGUUGUAAGAGCCAAGAGAG
rnacentral:lncRNA from 1 species